GCCUAAAAUCUAGCCCUACUCCACCCACAUGAACACCUUAACCCUAUGCCCUUCAAACAAAACAUUUUAACAUUUUAGUACAGGCGAUCAAAAAAUUUAUAGGCGCUUCAGAUACAGUACCGCAAGGGAAUGAUGAAAUAAUAAUGAAAUAACUUUAAAGCCCAAAACAGCAGAGACUCACCCUCG
rnacentral:rRNA from 1 species